GCCUGGGUAGCUCAGGUGGUUAAGUGUCUGACUUCAGCUCAGAUCAUGAUCUCACAAUUCGUGGGUUCAAGCCCGGCAUCAGGCU
rnacentral:tRNA from 1 species